UACGUAGGGGGCAAGCGUUGUCCGGAUUUAUUGGGCGUAAAGAGCGUGUAGGCGGCCUGAAAGGUCAGCUGUGAAAACUCGAGGCUCAACCUCGAGACGUCGGUUGAAACCAUCUGGCUAGAGUCCGGAAGAGGAGUGUGGAAUUCCCGGUGUAGCGGUGAAAUGCGCAGAUAUCGGGAAGAACACCCGUGGCGAAGGCGGCUACCUGGACCGAUUCUGACGCUGAUGCGCGAAAGCGUGGGUAGCAAACAGG
rnacentral:rRNA from 1 species